GACGAACGCUGGCGGCGUGCCUAAUACAUGCAAGUCGAGCGGAUUUAAUGAAAGCUUGCUUUCAAUUAAGUUAGCGGCGGACGGGUGAGUAACACGUGGGUAACCUGCCUUUAAGACUGGGAUAACAUUCGGAAACGAAUGCUAAUACCGGAUAGGCGAUUUGGUCGCAUGAUCGAGUCGAGAAAGAUGGAGUAAUCUAUCACUUAGAGAUGGACCCG
rnacentral:rRNA from 1 species